CCACCGUGACAGCUGGAGAGGCAACACAGCAAAGUACAGACAGUCUAGGAGGUUCCUGGAAAGCUUUGAUGAUCCCUUCCUGAGACAGAGGGUUGUAAAAUCUUCCAUGUGACCACAAAGAGCAGCGCGUUCACGGAGCAGUUCUCGCUUUUCUGCAAGCUGCAUUGCUGUGGCAUCAGGGCUCCAUAUCUACAAAAUAGAGGAACAGGUUCUUCCUCAGGUGGCUGAGAUACAUCUGGAGACUGAAGGGAAAGAAGGUUUCAGUGGCUCUGCUGGUUUUGGCUUCCCACCUUUUGCUGGCUUUGCUUCUUCUUUUUCUUGUUCUUCUUCCAAAAUUUGCAGU